UACGUAGGGGGCGAGCGUUGUCCGGAGUUACUGGGCGUUAAGGGUGCGUAGGCGGCGCGGUAAGUCGGGUGUGAAAUCUCGGAGCUUAACUCCGAAACUGCAUUCGAUACUGCCGUGCUUGAGGACUGGAGAGGAGACUGGAAUUUACGGUGUAGCGGUGAAAUGCGUAGAUAUCGUAAGGAAGACCAGUGGCGAAGGCGGGUCUCUGGACAGUUCCUGACGCUGAGGCACGAAGGCCAGGGGAGCAAACGGG
rnacentral:rRNA from 1 species